UCUCAGCCUACGUACAAGACUGUAGAUAUGUUUUAUACAUUCUUAAAUAAGACAGGUGGAUAUUUCACAAUUCUUAAAAGACAUAUACACACAUACUUACAUAUUUAAUACCUCUCAAAGGAUAGACAUAAAACUUCCUCUAGAGAGAACUGGGGUCUAGGAACUGGGGUUGGAGAGAGUCACUUUCACUGUGUACAUUCUUUUAUAUUUAAUACUACUUAAAACUUUUUUUUUUCUUUCAGUUUCUUGGUUCUAUUCCAGACCUACUAAAUCAGAAUCUUGGAGGAUGGCUGGGAGUCUGGAUUCUUCAAGCUGCCUGUGUGAUUUUUAGGCAGCCAAGGUUGCGAACCCCCGGUGUAGUGAGCAGGUGUCAGAAGAGGGGACUGUACUGUCAGGAAUUCAUUGGACCGGAACCCAGUCCCCCUCCUUCCCCAGAAGGAGAGAGCCCUAAACCUCUCUUUGGGAGAGGAAAUCGGCAGCACAAGUUGGCUGCGUGCGGGAAGCCACAGGCCCCAGCUCUCGAAGGCCGCUGGUUGACUGCCGCGCUGGGACUCGGAGGUGCUGGCCCACCCACCGUAAAGUUCCCUCUUGGUUUCAGAUGUGCCUCUUCUGCUGAUCUCAACCUCAUGUCAGUCUGAAUGCAGGACUUUGUGUCUAUGCUUGAGCUGCCUAAGAGGUGCUAGAGGAUAUCACACAGCUAUGGGGAUCAGGACCACAAGACACAGGGUUACAAGCUCAGGUAACUCAGGCCCACUGUUGGGCCGUCCUGUCGUGCUUCUGGUCAACUCUAUACUAUUCCCCAUUCUCCAGUCUCCUCAGGGCCCUUAACCCAGUGCUGUCAAACUUUAAUGUACAAGCAAAUCACAUGGGAGACCUUAUUAGGAAUGCACAUUCUGAUCUAGUAGGUCUUGGGUGGGGCCAGAGAUUUUGCAUUUCUAACAGGCAGCUCACCCUAGAGAAGUCAGCAAAGAUGAAAAAUGGAUUAGUGGUUAAAGAGCAAACCAGGCUUUAUCUGUGAUAAAUGAAACCUCUAAAAUAAUAGUAACAGAGUCUGAUGUGGUGGCUUCCCUGCAAAGCUUAGUCCUCAACCAGCCUCCCAGGACCCACCCUGUCACUAUUAUCUCUGAAAGCCAGGGAAGCCCGGCCAGGGUUCUCUGCUUCAAACCAAGUCUGGGCCCCAGGGGACAAGAAGACCAGCUGGCUUUGUCUCCCUGAUGAGCCCAGACUGUAUCAAUGGCACUGAUCAGGAAGGGAGUCAAGCUGGUUAGUACCAUGCCCUUGGAAGUUCCUGGGUUUUACAAGUCAGGCAGUAUAUUUUUUUGGGAAAAAAAGAAAUACAAAUAUCUAUCCAGAAAUCCAGAAAAAUUAGAAAAUCUUGGAACUAAGGAACAACUUACAAAAAAAGUUUUACUUACCCAAAAACAUUUGACAGAAGUUUUGCUGAUUCAAACACGUUGCAAUUUAAAAAAAACCUGACAAAAAACAAAAACCAUGUUGCAUUUGGCAACAUGUGCUAGAGAAUGAAUUUGUAGCCCCAGAGGUCUGGGGAGGAACCUGAGGGGCUGUUAGCAUAACCAAACUUCUGUUAAUAUUCUUGCUCUUAAGAAGCAAACAUAAUGGAAGAAUUGACAUAUGUUACAUUCCUUACUUAGCAAAGUGAAUAAACUUAAGGAUUCUUUCUUGUACACCUUGUCAAAAAAUUGGAUUGGUAAACGUUAAUGCAUGAGGUCAUAACAUUUAGGGGAGGACUUGACAGCUAGGUGACAUUAGUUUUAUGUUCCAACUAAAAUUUCUGCCCCCCUUUUAAAAAAUAGAAUCUGCAUGUCUUUGACAUUUUCUAAAAUCUCUGUAGUGUUGACACACUAAAUUUCUUCUUGGAGAUACUCUGUGGUUAUGUUUUCUAUUUUAAAACCAGUUUUGGGGAGUGCCAUUGCUAACACACCUACUGGUAAUUCAGAUACUAAUUGGUCAUUCAAAUACCAUUGGUCAUUAUACAAAAAUAACCCACUUCAGACCCAAAGCUUUAUAUGUUUUACUGUCAAUUUUGGCAGAAGUUACUUUUAUUUCUAUGUUUCCAGUUGUUACAUGAGGAGACAACAUACUAAUCUGGGUACUGGGAAAUGUGGGUUCCAGUUACACAAUAGCAACAUUGUAGCUGAAAUUCCAGUAAGUGUGUGAAACCUCCCAGAGGAUGUAAGGCUCAUGGGAGGACAUUUGUAAACGCCUCCGAAGCUCUCACAUGGGGCUUCUUGGCAACAGGUGGAAACCAGAGGACUACCAUCCUUAGGUUACUGUAGUGGGGCUUACUUUUUAUUACAGGAACCUAUGCCUGACACUACCCUCUGCAGUGGUUUGUCUCCUGUUUAUUCUUUGUAGCUGAUUUUGUUCUGUAACAGGUAAAGUAAGCUAAAAUUGGGCGUACUCUGUAGUAAUCCCUUUAAAUGGAAAGACUAAAUACACGUAAAUGCCUGACAGGGUGACAGCCGGGAUGUGAAAGGGACUGGGCUAUUUAUGAGGUGUUACAGGCAGGGCACUGGCCCUUCCCCCGCAGAUGGAUGGAUGAGUGGACAGUGGCUCUAUUAAGGAACUUUCUGGCCGUGAGGUGGUACUGAUCCCACAGGACAAGGUUCUGGCUGGGCUGUUUGUUGUGCUAGGACCCCCUCGAUUCAGGGUUGAAUCGCUAUUGAGAAACAGCAGAGGGGCAAGUAUUCCCUCAGGCUCUAAGCGAUUGCAUGAGGCUUUAUUUCUUCUUUUCUGUACCAUCUUGCUACUUCCCUCAGCUACUCAGCGACCAUCGGACACCCGCCUUUACGCAUCACUGCCUAGGCUGUGCGCCCUGUGUCUGCUUCCACGCCCCCGGCUAGAGGUCAGUCAUGGCCUCUCCCAGCUGCAGGGAGGCUGGGAAACGUAGCCUUUCUUUCAGCCACAUAAGGAGAUCUGCUGAGGAAGGAGGAGGCCACAGAUGUCAGGGUGGGGGGUCCCUAGCGCUCUCUUCCACCCACCCACUAACACCCCUCCCAUCCUGCAAGGCCUGGUACAGGUGUCACGUGCUCCGUGAGGGCUUCCCACUUCUCCCCUGGUCUCCCCGUCACUCCUCCUCGGAAGUCCCACUUCUGCUUCUACUUGCUAAAAAGCCUUGUGAGCGCAAGGUCCACGAACUACUCAGGUCUCAUUCUAAACUGCCAGUCAAGUCCGGAUCCACGGACACCCAUGCCUCCCCUUUGUACGUGUGGCCCACACGUGACUCACUUUGGAACUUUCAAGGACUGGACAUUUACUUUUGGGUGCAGAACCCGAGACGUGUGUGGCAGUUUGCAGCCAAAGACCCUUGGACUUCCAGUAAAACCAGCAAGAGGAAAUGAUGCUAUUUUCAAUAUAUAUUUAAGCUACAAUAUAUAUUAAGCUAAUAAAUUUUAUGCAGAACCUGAAUUGGUAUACAAGUCAAAAUAGGUUGUCUCUCUAAAUGACAUCAUUUCCAUGUGGUUACACUGGUUGACCACGCCGGUCAGAAGCUUUGUUUGGCGGUUGUCUGUAUAGAGCUCCAAGGCUGAAGGGGUCUCUGGUUAAAAAUUAAAUAAAAAAAAAAAAAAAGAAAAAUGGGAGACACUAUCCUAGGUGCUCAGGAAACAUUUUUUAAUGAAUGUAUGACGGAGCUGUUAUUUCUUUCAUUACAUAAAAUAUUUCUUUCAAAAAAUUAGGCCCACACUCCUCAUUUGUAAUUCUGAAGACUGAAAGCUCUUAAAACCAAAAGUUAUUCUGUAAGUUUGGCACAAAACUUAUUUUGCAGCAAAGUCUGGCAUGAACUAAGUUGUGUCAUAACAUUCCUCCCGAAAUAUCUGCCGAGGGCUGGUGUUUUGUUGCUUUUUUUGUUGUUCUUUUGUAACCAUGAAAACGUCAGAGUCAAGGAUACCCUGUUGUCACAGCGAGAAGAUAAAAAGAAAAGCGUCUCCCGUGAACAGCAGGAGAGAGUGAGGUUCUUACAGAAGCUUGAGCCUGGUGUCUGUGAGGCAUUUCAAUGCAGAUCAUGGCGCAGAAGCAUUAUUAUGUGUAACUUAAAGAAACAGGAGUCGUUUAAGGUGUAUAGUGACGAUGAACAAAAACAAAAAUAGAGAACACUGCUUAGGACAGAAGUCUGAGAUCUGGACCAUAUUUUGGUUGCGUGACUCCAAUGUAAAGGGAACGUGUGACCAGAAUCUCGCUAGACUGUGCCGUGAAGAACGGACCCUGAAGUGUGCGUGAGAACCUUUUCUAGAUCAGCUACAGAGACUGAGGCGCAUCGCUGUGUAAAGUAACCUGAAGAUCAACUGGAAAACGCUUCUAAUGAUCAGAAAGUGUCAGAAAAUUGAUAGUGAAUUUGAUACGGCAUAGCUCAUUAAAAAAAAAAACAACUCAUUCUUCAGCAAAUUGCAAUGCUGAUGAAACAGAUCUUUCCUGGAGACACAGUCCCGGACAAACAGUGACGGAGCUGAAGUGAGAUCCGAGAGCUUUGGGUAUGUCACUGUCGCCCAUGCUGUCGAUACACAAAACCAGAAAGGGCAGCAUCCAAGACGUUGGAAAUGUGUACAGAACUCACCAUGCAAACAAAACACAGCAACGGGGUGGUGGGGGGAGUACAGCUCAGUGGUAGAGCACAUGAUAAGUAGGCACGAGGUCCUGGGUUCAAUCCCCAGUACCUCCUCUAAAAACAAAUUUAAAUAACCUAAUUACCUCCCCCGCCAAAAAACAAAACAAGACAAAACACAGUAUCCAGAGAAAUACCGUGACGGGUCAGUAACAAUUUCACCACAGCCACGGGCGUUCGCGGCAGACGGGCUUGUCAGGAAGGGCUGUGAGGUUUCGCUGUCCCUAGAGAAGUCCUCCACUCGCCUGUCCUGAACUUCUUGUGAUGCCAGUGUGGCAUUUUACCCUCCGGGAAGAACAAGUCAAGUCAUUUAAGAAAUAAGACAAAAAUGGUCCUAGGUGCUUGCUUGCUGCUGUGAACAAGGGUCCCAGAGACAAAGACUUCUCGGGAAAUUUCAGUCUCCAGGAUGCCAUUAACACAGUUGCCAAGGCUUGGAAUUACGUUGAUAAAUCAAUAUUAAAAAUGCUUGUCAUUGCUAUGAUGCAUAACCACACACUGAUCGUGAGAAAAAUCAGACCAACUCAAAUCGAGGGACGUUUUACAAAAUACCUGACCAGCACUCCUCAACAGUUUCAAGGUCAUGAAAAACAAGGAAAAACUGAGAAACUGCCGUAAACUUGAGGAGACUAAGGAGACGUGAUGAUUAAACACAACAAGGUAUCCUGGAUUGAAUCCUAGAACAGAAGAAAGGCCAUUAAUGGGAAAACUGGUGAAAUCUGCUAAAGUGUGGGCUUCGAGGAAUAGCAGUUCAUACCAUUGUUAAUUUCCUAGUUUUGACAAACGUGCCAUGGUUAUUUAACAUUAGUGAAAGACUGGUACAGGGUGUAGGGGACCUCUGUACUAUCUUUGCAACUUUUCUGAAAAUCUAAGA